rnacentral:lncRNA from 1 species
GAAAAGAGGGAAAUGCUUCUUGAACAUUCUGCCACAAUCUCUACCUUUAAAAGGCAACCCCAAUGCCUUCUUUAACAUGUUUACAUGCACUGAGAAUUCCUAGCCCCUUUUAGCCAUAAACAAAAUCACCCAAAAGUCUUCUUUUCUUUUCAUUUUAGAUCUGAUUUUUGAAAUUCAAAUCUGAAAAAAAGAAACAAAAACAAUAGAAAAUCUCCAAAAAAUCCAAAAACAAUAGAAAAAACCAAAAAUAUUGUUCCAUCUAAAUUCUAGUUUUUUUAGCUGCUGAAGUUUCAUCUGGGUUGGAUUUCAAGUUUUAAUUUGGUUUCAAGCAAGAUUAUCUGGUUUUCAUGGACUUCAUUAAGUUCUGAUUGUUUCCUGGGAUGUUCUAGAGCUAUUCUGGGUUGAUUUCAGAUUUACUCUCACUGGUUGAUUUGUGGUUGUUGUUGUUAUUGUUGUUGACUCCUCUGCUGCUUCUUAUUUGAACAAAACUCCAGGUACACAUCCAAAUUCAACUCGAUGUAGCAUUGAAGUUUGAAAAAAUGAAAUCAAAUGUUCAUCCAUCUCCUGAUACAUGUUUGUCCAACUGUAAUUAAUGCUUUGUAUUAGGUUCAGUUCAAUUUUCAUAUAUUUCUCAGACUGUUAAUUAGACUGACUUGUUUGUACUAAACUGAACAUUGAAUUUGAAUUAGUUAGUUGCUAAAAUAUGAUUCAUGUAAUUGCACAAAAUAUAACUGAACUCUUGCAAUAGUUGUAGUUGAUUUGGAGUAGUUGUUUGUUUAGGGUUUGGAUAGUUGUAG